rnacentral:rRNA from 1 species
GACGAAGGGGGCUAGCGUUGUUCGGAAUUACUGGGCGUAAAGCGUGCGUAGGUGGUUGUCAUAGUCAGGUGUGAAAGCCUUGAGCUCAACUCAAGAAAUGCACUUGAUACUGGGCAGCUAGAGGACCGGAGAGGAUAGUGGAAUUCCCAGUGUAGUGGUGAAAUACGUAGAGAUUGGGAAGAACACCAGUGGCGAAGGCGGCUAUCUGGACGGUUUCUGACACUAAGACACGAAAGCGUGGGGAGCAAACAGG